rfam:Picea glauca, whole genome shotgun sequence.
GCAUGCCUACAACAUAGCGUUAAUACACCGGAUCCCAUUAGAACUCUGUAGUUAAGCGCGCUCAAGGUAGAGUAGUAAUCGGAUGGGUGAUCACUCGGUAAGUCCUAUUGUUUUACAUGCC